rnacentral:rRNA from 1 species
AGCGAACGCUGGCGGCAGGCUUAACACAUGCAAGUCGAACGGGCUUCUUCGGAAGUCAGUGGCAGACGGGUGAGUAACACGUGGGAACGUGCCCUUCGGUUCGGAAUAACUCAGGGAAACUUGAGCUAAUACCGGAUACGCCCUUUUGGGGAAAGGUUUACUGCCGAAGGAUCGGCCCGCGUCUGAUUAGCUUGUUGGUGGGGUAACGGCCUACCAAGGCGACGAUCCGUAGCUGGUCUGAGAGGAUGAUCAGCCACACUGGAACUGAGACACGGCCAAGACUCCUACGGGAGGCAGCAGUAGGGAAAAUUGGACAAUGGGCGCAAGCCUGAACCAGCCAUGCCGCGUAAGUGAUGAAGGCCUUAGGGUUGUAAAGCUCUUUUGUCCGGGACGAUAAUGACGGUACCGUAAGAAUAAGCCCCGGCUAACUUCGUG